rnacentral:lncRNA from 1 species
AAAAAAAAAAAAAAUUAAGGUCUUAAUGAGUUUUAAGCUACGACGAGGACAGCAAUCAUGAACCCUGCGAGCGCCGCGGGCACCGUGCGCACUGGGCGCUGGUCACCGGGGUGGUGCUGGGGGUGAGGAGCGCGGCGCUGGGUCCGGAGUGGAGGAGGGACGGCGAGAUCCCGAAUCUCUACCAUCGGGUGACCCCGGGGGGGACCCCAAAUUUUGGGGGGGGCCCAAAUGGGGAAGGGGGGGGAGGGUUUGGGGGACCCCAAAAUCUUGGGGGGGCUCCAAAGCUGGGGAGCCCUCAAGAUUUUGGGGGGUGCCAAGGUCUUGGGGGGUCCCAAGGUCUUGAGGGGGCACAAAAGCCAAGGGGACCCCAAAAUCUGGGGGGACCCCAAAAUCUGGGAGGAUCCCAAAACGCAGGGGGACCCCAAAACCUGGGGGAACCCCAAAAUUUGGGGGCACACCGAGACCCAGGAGGGUCCCAAAAUCUGGGGGAACCCCCAAAUCUGGGGGAACCCCCAAAUUUGGGGGCUCCCCAAGGUCCGGGAAGACCCCAAAAUCUGGGGGACCCCAAAAACCUGGGAGGACCCCAAAAUGUGGGAGUACCCCAAGGUCUUGGGGGACCCCAAAACCUGGAAGGACCCCAAAAUGUGGGAGAACCCCAAAACCUGGAGGCACCCCAACCCCCCCCGGGGCUUUUAGGGCCAUCGGGGGGCGCCCCCUUGGCUUUUGGGGUUUCUGGGGGGGGGGAGGCUUUUGGGGGCGUCCCCCCCGAGUUUUGGGGUGCCGUGGGGGGGGCGCUGGUGGUGGCGCAGCAGGGGAAGAGCCCCCGCUGCCAGCUCUGGCCCUAUGAGCUCCUACGGGACAGCAACGCGCAGCUCCGGGAACUCAGCCCCCGCCGCCUGGGGGGCGACCCCAAAAGCGGGGGGGACCCCAAAACGGGGUCAGGGGGCUCGGGGGGGCAAGGGGGGGGCUACGUGGUGCCCCCCGGGGGGCUGGAGGAGGGGUUGUGCGGCCAGGCGGUGCUGCUGUACCCCAAAAAUGAAGGGGAUUAGGGGUUUGGGGGUUUAGGGUGAGGGGGUUUUUUAUGGGGUCGGGGGGGGUUGGGGUCAUAAGGGUUUUUUUGGGGGUCAUGGGGGGGGUUUGGGGGUCGGGGGGGUUGCGAUUUGGGGGUUUGAGGGGGGAUUUGGUGUCUUUGGGGGGGAUUUGGGGGUUUAUGGGGGGAUUUGGGGUCAGAGGGAUUUGGGGUCGGGGGAAUGUUUGGGGUGGGGGGGGAUAUUUGGAGUCAUUGGGGGGGAUUUGGGGUCAUUGGGGGGGUUUUGGGGUGUGUGGGGUUUUGGGGUGUCCCCCCCCCCCUGCUCCGCCCCCUGUUUUUGUAUGGGGCUGGGGUAAUAAAAGGGGUUUUGGGGUCUGAGCCCGGUGUCAUUGUUUUCGGGGGGGGCUUGGGGUGGCAGGGAUGGGGGGGGGGCUGUGGGGUGCUAUGGGGUGCCAUAGGGCGCUAUGGGGUGGGCACUAUGGGGUGCUGUGGGGUGCCAUAGGGUGUUAUGGGGCGGCCAUGGGAUGCUAUAGGGCGCUAUGUGGUAGUAUAGGGUGCCAUGGGGUGCUGCAAGGUGCUUUGGGGGGGGCUAUAGGGCUCUAUGGGGCGGCCAUGGGGCGCUAUGGGACACCAUGGGGCGCUAUGGGGUGCCAUAGGGCACUAUGGGAGGGUCAUGGGGGGGCCAUAGGGUGCUCUGGGGCGCUAUGGGGCGCCAUAGGGUGCUAUGGGGUGGGUGCUAUGGGGCGGCCAUAGGGCGCUAUAGGGCCGCCAUGGGGCGCUAUGGGGUUGCUAUGGGGCGGCCAUAGGGCGCUAUGGGGCGGGCGCCUGGGCCCUGCCCCGCCCCUCCCGCGCAUGCGCCACGCCCCCCCGGGGGGCGGGGCCUCCUGAUCCUCCUCCCUCCCGAUUGGCCGCCGCCGCGCGUUCCCAUUGGCCGAGAGCGCCGGGGGCGGGGCUUCAGACCCGGAAGCGGCGCGAUGGCGCGGAGAGCGGUGAGCGGGGCUGCGGGGGGGGGAGGGGAGCCCUCGCCCCUCCCCCACUCCCCCUUUCCCCUCCCCCCCCCGGCCUCUUUGCCCCUCCCCCAGCGGUGACCUUUGACCUUUGACACCCCCCCCCCAGGGCCCCCCCCUGACCUUGACCCUGAGGGGGCUGCACCGGACCCGGAGCCUCCGGGGGGGGGAGGGGGGGGAGGAGGAGGAGCCCCCCCGGGGGAUGGUAAGGGGGGGAGGGGCGGGGGGGGGGGGGCAAAGGGUGGGGGAGGGGCAAAGGGUGGGGGAGGGGGGAAGUGGGGAAGGGGGAGGGGCACAGGGAGGGGGAGGGGCCUGGGGGUGGGGGAGGGGCAUUGAGGGGGGAGGGGGAAAACCGGAAGGAACCGGGGGGGGAGGGGCUCGGCGCGGUCGCGGUCACGGCGCCAGGGGGCGCUGGCCCCGCACUGCGGCCCUCAGGCCA